AAAUUAGGGAGCCUUAAUACAGCUGCUCCAGUGCAGCUCAGGUUACCUGGAGGAGAUUAGCACAGGUGUGCACUAAAGUUUUGGAGGGAAAUUGCAAGGAGCCUUUGUGGACAAACAGGAAUAUUGGGCAUUGCCUUCUCACUCUGGACACACAUUACCAGGAGAAUAAUACUACCAACCUCUGCAUCAGCCUCAGCAUUACUGCCCCAUCUGGAAGAAGCUUCUAUGAAACGGUAGCCUGCUGUGGAUGUUAGAAGAACCGUAGACUUCCUCCCUUACGGUAUUCAGCUCCAGUGAAUGAAUCACCAGAAGGCACUGCAUCUAGUCAAUCAUAUGGAACACUUGAUGCUGCCUCCGUACUUUAGAAAGAAAUUCUCAUGGAAGUGAGACCUCCACCAUCGUGGGCAUUGGCCUCUACCCCAUCCAGAUACAGGACAUCUGCCUCGACUGGGAGGAGCUGCUAUUAGACAGUAUGAAAAGUUAAUUACUUGCUCCUGCUGUGUUUCGGAAUCCUCCCAUUCUUCUCCGUGCUUGGCCAUGUUAUGGACAUGAGUGCCCUUUUCACUGCAGAAAAGGACAAGGUAGCCUGCUGUGGAUGUUCGAAGAACCAUAGACUUCCUCCCUUACUGUACUCAGCUCCAGUGAAUGAAUCACCAGAAGGCACGGCAUCUAGUCAAUCAUAUGACCACUUGAUGCUGCCUCAUCAAAUUAGACAGAAAUUCUCAUGGAAGUGAGACCACCACCAUCGUGGGCAUUGACCUCUACCCCAUCUAGAUACUGGACAUCUGCCUCGACUGGGAGGAGCUGCUACUAGACAGUAAAGAUACUUUCCUAGAACACUUGAUGCUGCCCCUUCACAUUAGAAAGAAAUUCUCAUAGAAGUGAGACCACCACCAUCUUGGGCAUUGACCUCUACCCCAUCCAGAUGAUGGGCAUCUGCCUCUACUGGGAGGAGCUGCUACUAGACAGUAUGAAAAGUUCAAUUCUUCUGCCUGGUGUGGAUCUAAGAAGAGUCUUAAACAAUGUAUUAUCUUAAGGGGGCUGGCCACAAUAUCCGUAAUUUUAUAAGUGCUGUAAUUGUAAAGUUCUCACUCAUGGUUACUUGUUCCUGCUGUGUUUCAGACUCAGGGAAAUGCAUCGUCCCAUUCUUCUCCGUGCUUGGUCAUGUUAUGGACAUGAGUGCCAUAUUCACUGCAGAAAAGGACAAGAUAGAAAGGAGGCGGGGCUCCUUGUAUAGUGAAAACAGGGCACAGCAGGAGCAAGUAACUGAGUGAUACAACUUUACAAUUACUGCACUUGUUUUUGAAAUGGUCACCCCCUUUAACGUCAUUGAAUCAGCAUAAGACGUGCACCUGGCCGUAAUCUUAUGAUUCUCACUCAGUGGGGACAGUUUGGCAUUUCUGCGAUUACGGUUUUGUGUAGUCGAAAACCAUCAUGUAUAAAGAACAUAAAGACCUGGGUGUGCCAGAUCCUGAUUUGCAAACAUUUUAAAACUUGACUGAC